UACGGAGGGUGCAAGCGUUAUCCGGAUUUACUGGGUUUAAAGGGUGCGUAGGUGGGUUUGUAAGUCAGCGGUGAAAUCUCCAGGCUUAACCUGGAAAUUGCCAUUGAUACUAUAGAUCUUGAAUUAUCUGGAGGUGAGCGGAAUAUGUCAUGUAGCGGUGAAAUGCUUAGAUAUGACAUAGAACACCAACUGCGAAAGGCAGCUCACUACGGGUAUAUUGACACUGAGGCACGAAAGCGUGGGGAUCAAACAGG
rnacentral:rRNA from 1 species